rnacentral:rRNA from 1 species
GGCGAGCGAACGGGGAGCAGCCCAGAGCCUGAAUCAGUGUGUGUGUUAGUGGAAGCGUCUGGAAAGGCGCGCGAUACAGGGUGACAGCCCCGUACACAAAAAUACACAUGCUGUGAGCUCGAUGAGUAGGGCGGGACACGUGGUAUCCUGUCUGAAUAUGGGGGGACCAUCCUCCAAGGCUAAAUACUCCUGACUGACCGAUAGUGAACCAGUACCGUGAGGGAAAGGCGAAAAGAACCCCGGCGAGGGGAGUGAAAAAGAACCUGAAACCGUGUACGUACAAGCAGUGGGAGCACGCUUAGGCGUGUGACUGCGUACCUUUUGUAUAAUGGGUCAGCGACUUAUAUUCUGUAGCAAGGUUAACCGAAUAGGGGAGCCGAAGGGAAACCGAGUCUUAACUGGGCGUUAAGUUGCAGGGUAUAGACCCGAAACCCGGUGAUCUAGCCAUGGGCAGGUUGAAGGUUGGGUAACACUAACUGGAGGACCGAACCGACUAAUGUUGAAAAAUUAGCGGAUGACUUGUGGCUGGGGGUGAAAGGCCAAUCAAACCGGGAGAUAGCUGGUUCUCCCCGAAAGCUAUUUAGGUAGCGCCUCGUGAAUUCAUCUCCGGGGGUAGAGCACUGUUUCGGCAAGGGGGUCAUCCCGACUUACCAACCCGAUGCAAACUGCGAAUACCGGAGAAUGUUAUCACGGGAGACACACGGCGGGUGCUAACGUCCGUCGUGAAGAGGGAAACAACCCAGACCGCCAGCUAAGGUCCCAAAGUCAUGGUUAAGUGGGAAACGAUGUGGGAAGGCCCAGACAGCCAGGAUGUUGGCUUAGAAGCAGCCAUCAUUUAAAGAAAGCGUAAUAGCUCACUGGUCGAGUCGGCCUGCGCGGAAGAUGUAACGGGGCUAAACCAUGCACCGAAGCUGCGGCAGCGACGCUUAUGCGUUGUUGGGUAGGGGAGCGUUCUGUAAGCCUGUGAAGGUGUGCUGUGAGGUAUGCUGGAGGUAUCAGAAGUGCGAAUGCUGACAUAAGUAACGAUAAAGCGGGUGAAAAGCCCGCUCGCCGGAAGACCAAGGGUUCCUGUCCAACGUUAAUCGGGGCAGGG